rnacentral:rRNA from 1 species
UCCCCCUCUCUCUCUCUUUCUCCUCCCUCUUCAUCCUCCGUCGUCGUCGUGGGCUCCGGCGGCUCGGCUCGAUAGGGAAGGGAGUCGAGAGUCUAGGUUUUCGGCUUCUCUUAGCGCGGUUGAGCGAGCGGGAGCGGCAUCGAUCUACGCGCGGCGUCCGACGAUGACAAGGACGACGAUCCAAAGACGCCUCUACGGCCCGCGACUCCGGCUGCCGCGGCCGCCGCGGCCGCGGAGGAGGAGGAGGUGACGUCUAUCAAAACUGCGGCCCGUCAUGCGGAAGAAGCCCUUCCUCGGCGCGCUGCCCGAGCUCGAUCCAACGAACCUCCGACUACCACCGGUACCGUUACCGCCACCUAAGUCGCCCGGUCUCCUACCACCGAACAUGGCCGAGAGAAGCCAACCUCUUCUCUAACUGUUAGAUUCAUUGAACAGCCUGCAGCUACUAGAACGCUCAUGAAAACGAUUCAACUUGGCUUGGCAAUCACCUUGUGCCUUAGGACCACAAUAGCCACUGUCUGCUAGGUAAAGUUCUCCUUCAAGAAAUUGACAACUAACCUGACUCCUACAUCUCAAAGGGUUAAUAGUUCUAUAUAAUCUUUUACUCCUUAAGGUCCUUCCAUUUUCUACCACCAGUAGUGUCAGUGUAAGAAACCACGUCGUUCCCCUGUCGUUUGGCGAUUCAGCUUGUAGAAGGAUAGGAGUCGUCGGUGACGUCGUGGCAAGGUCACUUGGAUAGUGUCCUGGUUUCAGAGGAGGCAAAUGGAGCAAAGGCGGUGGUCCACCAUCUAGUGGUGUAGGACGAGUUCCAGAAUGUGCAGUACCCUCGUAAGGUAGUAAACCUCGACCCUAUGUCUACCCAAGAGGCUCGUACGGUGACGGUCCAAGGGGCAUAGUAUACCAACCCAAUGGAGUACCUGAUGGUAUACCCCCUUCGUACGGGAAACCACCAGGAUUAUACGUACAUCCGUUAGGUUACGUUUUACUGACCAGUUUGGUUCGGUUGGACAAGUGACCCCUCGUGGAAUUAGAUGACGGUUUGAAUAAUGUCUUUGUUUAUAGCGAAGGCUUAUCGGGUUACAGUAGUGACGAUAAGAGAGUCGUUGUCGUCUCUAACCGUGUCGAGGUUGGUAGGGUGGUAGUCUUAAUGGAUUUAAAUGGUGGGGUGGAUAAGAUGGUAGUAGUGGGGGGUCUCUAUGGUCCGUCCAAACUUAGACGAUGGUCAGAAGGAAGUAGUUCUCUGUUCUCUAGUUCUAGUCCUUCCCCUUUUGUGUCAAAUGCAAAAAGAGUUGGUGGUAGACUAUGAUGACCAUCAGUCUUGCCACUCUCACCACCUGACUUCAAAUCUAGGUUCAUGUACAGUAGACUUCUCUAGCUCAGAUAAGAUUCUUACGUCGUGAGCCGUUCAGUGUCGUCACUAGGAAUACAACAACUAAUAAUAGUAGUUCGAACGUACCGCUUUUUCCCAAGGUCAAGAUUCGUUUUCUGGUUAAAGAGGGGUUGUAGUCAAUUUCUGAACGGGAGGUUCAGAUCUAGUUCAUCACUGGUCGUACGUAUAGAAGUCCAGCUACGAGAACCCUCUCAAAGAAAGAGAAGGUAAGCGUCCGGGGCCAGAGAAGAACUUCAACUGUUAGGAAACAGUCCACUCCCAGGAGUACUAGUCUUCAGAAGCCACUCCAGGGACCUCUUUCUUGGAUACGAUCGUCGGUCCCAGUGACAACUUCUACGGUAACCAGAAGAAGAACUCCACCUACUAUAACUGUCCGAGGACGUCAGAUCGGUCCGUGUCCUCUUAUCGAAAGUCGACUCCGCUUCCGCUGUUCAAGAGGAACUUCCAGAUCGGCGUAGUGAAGUCGAACGACUGGGAGAACCCGGGUCGUUUAGACGGUUAAGUAGACCAAAUCGGGGAUUCCUACUAUAACAGAAAGAAGCGUAACAAAGAGAAGGGUUUCCUGCAUUCGAAGACCGAGCAAUAUAGGCCGAAUAACAGGGACCUUCGCUCAACUGGUCCUAACACACGUACCGAUAAAAGGCUGUGGACUCCAAGAACAAACCCCCAAAUGGUAGUCUAAGUUCACGUCGUCUCUGUUGUCAACGAGACCGUUUCUGACAAAGCUGAACACGAGUGGUAUACCUCGAACCACGAGAAUCACGAACGGAACGACGUCAGCAGACAAGUAGACUUGUUGGUGGAGAGGCAGGAGAACCAUCGAGACGACCACUGCCCCGAAGAGAAUAAUAGUUCAGUCAUGACCUGGCUCGUUGACUCAACGACUGACUAGUCGCACGGCAUAGGUCGAUAUGGGGCAGUUUGGCUCGAGAGACCGUCCGUAGCAAACUACGAAAGAAACCCGAAGACUGUUUUAUGACGGAGUCAUUCAUACUUUCAUAAGACGUCUACAAACACUACGUCCGUAGUCCGAGACACUAACCUAGACUUCGGAGAGUUCGUGGGUCGUCCCUCUACGGUCAUCUCAACGAUGCACGUUCGGAGGGAGUGUGUUUGCUCGUCGUUGCCGUCUACGACGAACUAAAGCGAGUCUCUUGGUGCGGACGGUCGUCAAAAUUAGGGGGACCACGAUCGCCACCUGUGUAGAGAAGACUUAGCCAAGGACCAAUUAUAUCGAGUUCCGGAGACGUGUUAACAGAAGCCUUACCACUAGGAAUAUAUAGGCUUCUGUACGUACUAGUGGGGGAACUAUUCCAAAACUCGACCCUCUUCAAGGUACCCGAGUCCUUUCAUCGGAAUAAAGUCAGACACUGAAUUCACAUCCAAAGUCUAAUUAGAGUAUCUGGUUGUUUUUCUCUACCUAGGGGGGAAAAUACACCCAGUAAAUGAUAUCGUGUGGGAGGACUACUAGUGUCUAUCUGGUACCUCUUGUACAUGAAUAUAACGACAUUGAGACACGUCACCUACUUGGCCAGUCGAGCGAGCAGCCCCGUUAGAUCAAAAAUUGCAAAUACGCGGGCACCACGUCUUCUGGCAUCACAUGUCCAAGCUGACGAUCUCGAAAGGACAGACAAGAAAAAUGACCUCGUACCUUCCACGGUUCCUCAGUUCACACCUCAGACCAGGUAGACAAAAUAAAUCCUGGUCCAUACAACCUUAUUACUACCCAUUCACGUUAAAUAUACGAUGACGACCUUUCUACAAAAAGAAGCAACGUUGUAAAAUAUCUACACAGUACAGGGAGGGUCCAUAGGUGACUAUAAUUAUCACCUCGUGACCUUUACCUUCGUAACAGUAAACAAGUAGAAAAAAUCAAACCGUGAAACAAAAACAGUUCCCUACACCCCGGUCAGAUCAACCGAUAUCUUGUUAUGUUAACAUAGACAACUACUUAGUUUCUAUCUUUAAUAUCUUAGUGUUAGUUGGUCUC